CGCUGGCGGCGUGCCUAACACAUGCAAGUCGAACGGUUCUAAGCGCGAGCUUAGGAUAGUGGCGAACGGGUGAGUAAAAGGUAGGAAUCUACCCCUUGGACGGAGAUAGCUACUGGAAACGGUAGGUAAACUUCGAUAAGCCCGAGAGGGGAAGGUGGUGAGACAGCCGAGGGAUGAGCCUACUCUCCAUCAGGUAGUUGGUGAGAUAAAAGCUUACCAAGCCGAUGACGGAUAACCGGUGUGAGAGCAUGAACGGUCACAAGGGCACUGAGAGACGGGCCCUA
rnacentral:rRNA from 1 species